rnacentral:rRNA from 1 species
UACGUAGGGGGCUAGCGUUGUCCGGAUUUACUGGGUUUAAAGGGUGCGUAGGUGGGCAGGUAAGUCAGUGGUGAAAUCUUCAAGCUUAACUUGGAAACUGCCAUUGAUACUAUUUGUCUUGAAUAUCCUGGAGGUAAGCGGAAUAUGUCAUGUAGGCGGUAGAAAUGCUUAGACAUGACAUAGAACACCCAUUGCGAAGGCAGCUUACUACGGGAUUAUUGACACUGAGGCACGAAAGCGUGGGGAUCAAACAGG